rnacentral:rRNA from 1 species
CCUACGGGGCGCAGCAGUGAGGAAUAUUGGUCAAUGGACGCAAGUCUGAACCAGCCAUGCCGCGUGCAGGAAGACGGCUCUAUGAGUUGUAAACUGCUUUUGUACGAGGGUAAACUCAGAUACGCGUAUCUGUCUGCAAGUAUCGUACGAAUAAGGAUCGGCUAACUCCGUGCCAGCAGCCGCGGUAAUACGGAGGAUUCAAGCGUUAUCCGGAUUUAUUGGGUUUAAAGGGUGCGUAGGCGGUCGGAUAAGUUAGAGGUGAAAUCCCGAGGCUCAACUUCGGAAUUGCCUCUGAUACUGUUCGGCUAGAGAGUAGUUGCGGUAGGCGGAAUGUAUGGUGUAGCGGUGAAAUGCUUAGAGAUCAUACAGAACACCGAUUGCGAAGGCAGCUUACCAAGCUACGUCUGACGUUGAGGCACGAAAGCGUGGGGAGCAAACAGGAUUAGAUACCCUUGUAGUC